ensembl:lncRNA
CCUGGGUGCACCUCUCAUAGAGCUCAUUUAAGGGCUGACUGCCCCUCGGGAAGGGUUUCUUCCUGGAGGUCCCUCCUUGGUGAGGCUUUCCCUGCAAACCUGCAAUCUUCUGACACGGAGUACGCAUCUUCACUGAGGAUAAUGCGGAUAGGAGCGAUGCUGUUGCUCUCACUGAAGAAUGAAGAAAUCCCCAGCAGCUGGAUUGAUCCCACCUGUUAAACUCUUAAAUGAAUUCAUUCUUCUGCUCCUUAGAAAAUAUUAUUG